GCCUAACUGGCCCAGUUGGAAGAGCAUGUGACUCUUGAUCUCUGGGUUGUGAGUUCAAGUCCCACAUUGGGUU
rnacentral:tRNA from 1 species